rnacentral:misc_RNA from 1 species
GCUCUCUCUCUACACACACGUAUAGAUAUUAAUAUUAUCUUUUAUUGGAACCUAAUUCUUGGACAUUAGUCAUAUUCUUGGUUUGAUGGCUAAAGUUUGCUAAUUUGCUUUAAAAUGCAAUAAAAUAAAUAAAUAAAUAAACCCAAUCCCAAAUUCUUGACUUGGGCCUUGCAGGGUUGGGACGCUGGAUUCAGUCCUGCAAUAAACAUAUCACCUUCUCUGGGUCUUUUAUUGAACCUUUUCCU